UGGAACCUCGAAGAAAAGAAAAAGUGAGACGAGAGGUAAAAAUGGACAAGUGUCCGACAGUAGAAUUAGGGGUACAAGAUACCCACCUGAGAGGAAAGAAAAAGAAAAUAUAGAGCAUCUCAUUCUCCCCAAAAAGCUUCAAAUUGCAAGAAAGGUACGUAUCCCCUUAAAAGAGCAAAAGUAGAAUUAGACUUUCACCAUUGUUAUCACCAUCAUCACCAUACACCAUUCAUUCGCCACACAUGCACAUCUUGAUUUGACUUAUUGACUUGUUUCUCUGGAUCCAUGGUUUGACUAUGCAAUAAAUGUCUUGUAAGUAUGUAUUAGCUGUCUCCCACCUAUGAGCUCCAGAUAUCAGAACCUUAUUAGAGUAGGGUGAGAGAGAAGGCAAUAUCACUAUGCCUCAUACCAAAAAUACCACAUACUUUGAGAGAAGGCAUAUACCAUUACUGCCUUGGUAAGGAUCUAGAAAUACCACAAAAGAG
rnacentral:lncRNA from 1 species